GCUCCUGUCGCUUAUUGGUUAGAGCUUCCGCCUCAAAUGCAGGAGGUCGUUGGUUCGAUCCCCGGCUGAGUCA